rnacentral:rRNA from 1 species
AGAGUUUGAUCAUGGCUCAGAACGAACGCUGGCGGCGUGGAUAAGACAUGCAAGUCGAACGAGCUUAGUUUUGUAGCAAUACAGAGCUGAGCGAGUGGCGAACGGGUGCGUAACACGUGAGCAAUCUACCUUAAAGUGGGGGAUAGCUCGCCGAAAGGCGAAUUAAUACCGCAUGUGGUUGUAAAACCAAAGCCGGGGCAACCUGGCGCUUUUAGAGGAGCUCGCGGCCUAUCAGCUUGUUGGUGAGGUAACGGCUCACCAAGGCUUCGACGGGUAGCUGGUCUGAGAGGACGACCAGCCACACUGGAACUGAGACACGGUCCAGACACCUACGGGUGGCAGCAGUCGAGAAUUUUUCUCAAUGGGGGAAACCCUGAAGGAGCGACGCCGCGUGGAGGAUGAAUGCUUUCGGGUUGUAAACUCCUGUCAUUUGGGAACAAAGCCUUACGUUAACUGCGUGGAGGUUUGCUAGUACCAGAAGAGGAAGGGACGGCUAACUCUGUGCCAGCAGCCGCGGUAAUACAGAGGUCUCAAGCGUUGUUCGGAUUCAUUGGGCGUAAAGGGCGCGUAGGCGGCGGGGUAAGUCGGGUGUGAAAUCUCAGAGCUCAACUCUGAAACUGCACUCGAUACUGCUUUGCUCGAGGACUGGAGAGGAGAUUGGAAUUCACGGUGUAGCAGUGAAAUGCGUAGAGAUCGUGAGGAAGACCAGUGGCGAAGGCGGAUCUCUGGACAGUUCCUGACGCUGAGGCGCGAAGGCCAGGGGAGCAAACGGGAUUAGAUACCCCGGUAGUCCUGGCAGUAAACGGUGCACGUUUGGUGUGCGCGGAUUCGACCCCGUGCGUGCCGGAGCUAACGCGUUAAACGUGCCGCUGAGGAGUACGGUCGCAAGAUUAAAACUCAAAGAAAUUGACGGGGGCCCCGCACAAGCGGUGGAGUAUGUGGC